CUCGUAGUGUAAAAAGUAUUUUAACGGAUAUAGUAAGCCGGGCGAUAGUCCUACGGUUUAUCGAAAAGACGAAUUAUCCAAAGUUUACGCGCAACGAUAAAAACACCAGACAGCUUUCGACGGUAAUCGAGUAAAACGUUUUGACAAUGGGACGAACGGGAAUCGGGUGAUUACGGGGUGUAUUUGGAUAAGGGGUGUUGAAAAGAAGCGUACCGUCAAGGUAACUGCGGUAGGCAGAGCCCCCCUUCACCAUGCCAGUCUGCAUCAUCAUCAUCCCCACAUCUGGAAAAAGCCGGUCAAGAUCAACGUUCGGACGUUAUGUCGGAUAACUAUUUU